rnacentral:rRNA from 1 species
UUGACCUCGAAUCAGGUAGGAAUACCCGCUGAACUUAAGCAUAUCAAUAAGCGGAGGAAAAGAAACCAACAGGGAUUGCCCCAGUAACGGCGAGUGAAGCGGCAACAGCUCAAAUUUGAAAUCUGGCUCUCGGGCCCGAGUUGUAAUUUGUAGAGGAUGCUUUUGGUGAGGUGCCUUCCGAGUUCCCUGGAACGGGACGCCAUAGAGGGUGAGAGCCCCGUCUGGUUGGACACCGAUCCUCUGUAAAGCUCCUUCGACGAGUCGAGUAGUUUGGGAAUGCUGCUCUAAAUGGGAGGUAUAUGUCUUCUAAAGCUAAAUACCGGCCAGAGACCGAUAGCGCACAAGUAGAGUGAUCGAAAGAUGAAAAGAACUUUGAAAAGAGAGUUAAACAGUACGUGAAAUUGUUGAAAGGGAAGCGCUUGUGACCAGACUUGGGCUUGGUUGAUCAUCCGGGGUUCUCCCCGGUGCACUCUUCCGGCUCAGGCCAGCAUCAGUUCGCCCUGGGGGACAAAGGCUUCGGGAAUGUGGCUCUCUCCGGGGAGUGUUAUAGCCCGUUGCGUAAUACCCUGUGGCGGACUGAGGUUCGCGC